GCUGGUGUCCCAUAGAGGUCGAUUGGAACGGUCUUGUAAGCCGUCGGCUUUGCCCACGUCGGUUCGAAUCCGACCACCAGCUCCA
rnacentral:tRNA from 1 species